rnacentral:rRNA from 1 species
AACUAACGCUGGCGGCGUGCCUAACACAUGCAAGUCGUACGAGAAAGUCGGCUUCGGCUGAUGAGUAAAGUGGCGCACGGGUGAGUAACGCGUGGAUAAUCUGCCCUUGAGUGUGGAAUAACGUACCGAAAGGUGCGCUAAUACCGCAUAAUGCCUGGCAACACAAGUUGUCCGGCCAAAGAAGGCCUCUGUUUACAAGCUUUUGCUCAAGGAUGAGUCCGCGUACCAUUAGCUAGUUGGUGGGGUAACGGCCUACCAAGGCUACGAUGGUUAGCUGGUCUGAGAGGAUGAUCAGCCACACUGGAACUGAGACACGGUCCAGACUCCUACGGGAGGCAGCAGUGAGGAAUAUUGCGCAAUGGGGGCAACCCUGACGCAGCAACGCCGCGUGAGUGAGGAAGGUUUUCGGACUGUAAAGCUCUGUCGAGCGGGAAGAAAUGUACCAUGGCUAAUAUCCAUGAUAUUUGACGGUACCG